GACGAACGCUGGCGGCGUGCUUAACACAUGCAAGUCGAACGGAAAGGCCCUGCUUUUGUGGGGUGCUCGAGUGGCGAACGGGUGAGUAACGCGUGAGUAACCUGCCCUUGACCUUGGGAUAACUUCAGGAAACUGGGGCUAAUACCGGAUAGGAGCUCCUGCUGCAUGGUGGGGGUUGGAAAGUUUCGGCGGUUGGGGAUGGACUCGCGGCUUAUCAGCUUGUUGGUGGGGUAGUGGCUUACCAAGGCUUUGACGGGUAGCCGGCCUGAGAGGGUGACCGGCCACAUUGGGACUGAGAUACGGCCCAGACUCCUACGGGAGGCAGCAGUGGGGAAUAUUGCACAAUGGGCGGAAGCCUGAUGCAGCAACGCCGCGUGCGGGAUGACGGCCUUCGGGUUGUAAACCGCUUUCGCCUGUGACGAAGCGUGAGUGACGGUAAUGGGUAAAGAAGCACCGGCUAACUACGUG
rnacentral:rRNA from 1 species